rnacentral:lncRNA from 1 species
CAGAACCGCUAGUCCGUAAAACCGUUAAAAAACCGGUACGAACAGGUCUGAACCGGUGAAAACCGGAAGAACCGGUCCCGGUUUUACAAAACCGGCCGGUCCAGAUUUUUUAUUAAAAAAACUAAUCUUUUUUUUUCUUUUCAGUUUUUUACUUUCCGUUUUUUUUUUUUUUUGACAUAUAUACAAUUAUGCAGCAAUUAUUUCAAAUGGUUGUG